GACGGGGGAUGGGGGAAGAGAGAAACAUCAGUGUGAGAGAGACACAUCGAUUGAUUGACUCCUGACUGGGGCCUGGGAUCAAACCUGCAACCCAGGUCUUAAAAUUUUGGUGGCAGAGAGCACAUGUGCAGAGAGUAAUGGAAAACCAGUCAGAAGCUGCCGAUUCCGCAGAGAUGAUCGCAUUUUAUGUAAAAAAUGUAAUUUACAUUUGA